UACGUAGGGGGCAAGCGUUGUCCGGAAUCAUUGGGCGUAAAGAGCUCGUAGGCGGCUUGUCACGUCGGGUGUGAAAGCCCGGGGCUUAACCCCGGGUCUGCAUUCGAUACGGGCUAGCUAGAGUGUGGUAGGGGAGAUCGGAAUUCCUGGUGUAGCGGUGAAAUUCGUAGAUAUUCGGAGGAAUACCAGAAGCGAAGGCGGCUCACUGGCCCGAUACUGACGCUGAGGCGCGAAAGCGUGGGGAGCAAACAGG
rnacentral:rRNA from 1 species